rnacentral:misc_RNA from 1 species
CAGAGAUCAUGCCCUUCGGGGUAGACCUCCCACCCUGUGUUAUAUACGAUUGUUGCUUUGGCAGGUCGCCUUCGGGCACUCGGCUCUGGCUGAGGUGCACCUGCCAGAGGACCCCAAACCCUCGCAACCCUUUGCAGCCUGAAGUAAAAAGCAAAUAGUUA